ensembl:lncRNA
CUAUAUAUAAUGUUUAUCACCAUUCCAGGCAGUGUCUGAGAGCCUGCUGACUCCCUAAAGAUCUGUGAAUUAUUGUCAAGUAUCCUAAUAAAGAGGUGAGAACAGGCAACCUUCACCACUCAGGAUGACUCAGAGUAGGGGGUAGGAUUUUUUCCUGCAGAAUGAAGCAGAUCUUUUCGCAAAUGAAGAAAAAGUCAACACAUGGUAAAGGCAUUGUAAAAAUAAUUAGCCUCCACCUGCAAUGCAGGAGACACAGAAAACGAGGGUUCGAUCCCUAUGUUGGAAAGAUCCCCUGGAGGAGAGCAUGGCGACUCACUCCAAUAUUCUUGCCUGGAGAAUCCCAUGGACAGAGGAGCCGGGCAGGCUACAGUCCAUAGCGUCUCAAAGAGUUGGACAUGACUGAAGUGACUGAGCACAACACAGAUUAUAUCAGUAGUUUAUUAGUUUAAAACUCUACAUCCAAUUGAAAAACAAAGGUUAAAAAUAAAUAAAACUGUGUCUAUAAAUACCUUUGCAUCUAAGUCUUUCCCAUGCAUUUAAAAAUGUCUGGGGGAACAAAUUGCUCUGUGAAUGGGGAGACUCUUUUCAACAAGUAAAUGGAUCUCCCUGGGCCUCUUGGUGACAGCCCCCUGUCCCUCCUCAACAAAGGGACUAUGAGGUGAACUGGAUACUCAAUCAAGCCAUGUCUAUGCCUUCUUUCUCUGUCCCAGGUCCCCUGCCUUGCCCAUCUCUAGCCUAAGCCCCAAAGACCAAAGUGGCUCUGCCUGUGGGCACACACCCAACCUGGGAUUCGCAUUCCUGCCAGUACAGGCUAGUGAGUUGUAACUCAUUCACAGCGACAGGCUGCCUGCUCUCUGGUUGAGACGGGCUAGGUGAAGACAGCAGGAAGAAGGAUAGGGAGGCCAGUGCAGGGACUUUGGUGCCCUCUCGUUUCCCUUGGGGCCCAGCUGGAGCCCCGUGUCUUCAGACUGCUGUUGGACCUGCCAUACUCUCCUAUCAUGCUCCUCUCCCUCCCCUAAACUGUCCAGUUGUGGAUUAUCUGGGUGAGCCCAGUGUGGCCCCAAAGGCCUUUAACAGUGGAAGAGGGAACUGAAAGAAAACCAGAGAGAAAGCAGCAUGAGAAGGACUUAGUCGAAUGUCGUUAACUUUGAAGAUGGAGGAAGAAUGGCAAGAGCUGAGGGGGUCAAACCUUCAAGGUGUGGGGAGCCUCUAGGAGAUGGAAGGAAUGGGGUCCUUCCCUAGAGGCCCUGGAAAGGAACAAAAUCCUGGCAACACCUUGAUUUUAGGCCCACCCAUUUCACCUUUCUGAACUACAGAAGAGGAAGACAAAUGUAUGUUCUGAGCCAACAAAGGUAUGGUAAGUUGUUAACAACACAGAGCCAGAACACCAAUAGUUUCUUUAGAACAUGAGAAUAGUAAUAGAUAACAUAGUGUUACAAAAAUUUUUGCAGUAUUAAAAUAUCAUAUAUCAUUAUACCUCAUAAAGUAAGGAGUGUAUUGUGUGUGCUUAGUCACUCAGUCAUGUCUGUCUCUUUGUGAUCCCAUGGACUAUAGCCUGCCUGGCUCCUCUGUCUAUGGGAUUCUCCAGGCAAGAAUAUUGGACUGGGUAACCAUUCCCUUCUCCGAAGGACCUUCCUGACACAGGGAUCAAACCCGGGUUUCCUAUAUUGCAAGUGGAUUCUUUACCAUCUGAGCCACCAGGGAAGCCUGAGGUGAUAACAGCAGAUCAAAGGCAUCGAGACCAGAAUGUACUUUCGAAGAGCCAGCUGAGACUGUGUGGAAAUAAUGCUUAGCAUUUAUGUCGCACUUUAGACUCUCAAAGGAUUCUACAAUUAUUAAUUAAUUAUCCCACACAAUAGCUCUAGGAGGAAGGACUACAAGCAGUUUGAAAAUAGAGACUAAUCCUUGUCGCUCGAGUUAUUGCAGGAAACUGCGCUGAGUGCUUAGUGCUUUACAAUGCUGCUUUUACUUAAGUCUCACAAUGACUUUUGAGCUGCAGGUAGCCUCUUGCCUCUCGGGGGAGGCGCAACAGCUAUUACAGGGAGCAAAUAAACUCUAAGAGAAGGACCGAGGAACUCGCACACGUAAGGACAUGGCUUUGUGCCCUCAUGUUUCCAGGGUGGCUGUAGGCUCCAGUUUGCCUAGGGUCAUCCCAGUUUAUGUUUGCUGUCCUGUCAUCAUUAUUAACAAGGCCCCAUGCACUGUCAUGAUUUGGACAAAAUCUUAU